rnacentral:rRNA from 1 species
UGGGGAAUCUUGCACAAUGGGGGAAACCCUGAUGCAGCGACGCCGCGUGAACGAUGAAGCCCUUCGGGGUGUAAAGUUCUUUCGACAGGAACGAUAAUGACGGUACCUGGAGAAGAAGCUGCGGCUAACCACGUGCCAGCAGCCGCGGUAAUACGUAGGCAGCGAGCGUUGUUCGGAGUUACUGGGCGUAAAGAGUGCGUAGGCGGCGAGCCAAGUUUGGUGUGAAAUCUCCCGGCUUAACCGGGAGGGUGCGCCGAAAACUGGUUGGCUGGAGUAUGGGAGAAGAAAGCGGAAUUCCUGGUGUAGCGGUGAAAUGCGUAGAUAUCAGGAGGAACACCUGCGGUGUAGACAGCUUUCUGGACCAAAACUGACGCUGAGGCACGAAAGCGUGGGUAGCAAACA